CAAGUCGAACGAUUAAGACUUCCUUCGGGAAGUGCAUAAAGUGGCGCACGGGUGAGUAACACGUAAGUAAUCUACCUUCGAGUGGGGAAUAACGUCCGGAAACGGACGCUAAUACCGCAUAAUGCAGCGGCAUCGUAAGAUGACAGUUGUUAAAGGAGCAAUUCGCUUGAAGAGGAGCUUGCGGCAGAUUAGCUAGUUGGUAAGGUAAUGGCUUACCAAGGCUACGAUCUGUAACCGGUCUAAGAGGACGGUCGGUCACACUGACACUGAAUAACGGGUCAGACUCCUACGGGAGGCAGCAGUCGGGAAUUUUGGGCAAUGGGCGAAAGCCUGACCCAGCAACGCCGCGUGAAGGAUGAAGUAUUUCGGUAUGUAAACUUCGAAAGAAUAGGAAGAAUUAAUGACGGUACUAUUUAUAAGGUCCGGCUAACUACGUGCCAGCAGCCGCGGUAAUACGUAGGGACCAAGCGUUGUUCGGAUUUACUGGGCGUAAAGGGCGCGUAGGCGGCAUGACAAGUCACUUGUGAAGUCUCCGGGCUUAACUCGGAACGGUCAAGUGAUACUGUCGCGCUAGAGUGCGGAAGGGGCAAUUAGAAUUCUUGGUGUAGCGGUGAAAUGCGUAGAUAUCAAGAGGAAUACCUGAGGUGAAGACGGGUUGCUAGGCCGACACUGACGCUGAAGCGCGAAAGCCAGGGGAGCAAACGGGAUUAGAUACCCCGGUAGUCCUGGCCCUAAACGAUGAAUACUUGGUGUCUGGAGUUUUUAGUGCUCCGGGUGCCGUCGCUAACGUUUUUAGUAUUCCGCCUGGGGAGUACGCUCGCAGAGUGAAACUCAAAGGAAUUGACGGGGACCCGCACAAGCGGUGGAGCAUGUGGUUUAAUUCGACGCACCGCGAAAAACCUUACCUGGACUA
rnacentral:rRNA from 1 species